UACAGAGGGUGCGAGCGUUAAUCGGAAUUACUGGGCGUAAAGCGCACGUAGGUGGAUAUUUAAGUCGGAAGUGAAAGCCCUGGGCUUAACCUGGGAAUUGCCUCCGAUACUGAAUGUCUAGAGUAUGGUAGAGGAUAGUGGAAUUUCCGGUGUAGCGGUGAAAUGCGUAGAUAUCGGAAGGAACACCAGUGGCGAAGGCGGCUAUCUGGACCAAUACUGACACUUAGGUGCGAAAGCGUGGGGAGCAAACAGG
rnacentral:rRNA from 1 species